GGGGAAUUUUCCGCAAUGGGCGAAAGCCUGACGGAGCAACGCCGCGUGAGGGAUGAAGGCCUCUGGGCUGUAAACCUCUUUUAUCAAGGAAGAAGAUCUGACGGUACUUGAUGAAUAAGCCACGGCUAAUUCCGUGCCAGCAGCCGCGGUAAUACGGGAGUGGCAAGCGUUAUCCGGAAUUAUUGGGCGUAAAGCGUCCGCAGGCGGUCUUGUAAGUCUGUUGUUAAAGCGUGGAGCUUAACUCCGUUUCAGCAAUGGAAACUGUAAGACUAGAGUGUGGUAGGGGCAGAGGGAAUUCCCGGUGUAGCGGUGAAAUGCGUAGAUAUCGGGAAGAACACCAGUGGCGAAGGCGCUCUGCUGGGCCAUAACUGACGCUCAUGGACGAAAGCCAGGGGAGCGAAAGGGAUUAGAUACCCCUGUAGUCCUGGCCGUAAACGAUGAACACUAGGUGUCGGGGGAAUCGACCCCCUCGGUGUCGUAGCCAACGCGUUAAGUGUCCCGCCUGGGGAGUACGCACGCAAGUGUGAAACUCAAAGGAAUUGACGGGGGCCCGCACAAGCGGUGGAGUAUGUGGUUUAAUUCGAUGCAACGCGAAGAACCUUACCAGGGUUUGACAUCCUGCGAAUCUUUUGGAAACAGAAGAGUGCCUUCGGGAACGCAGUGACAGGUGGUGCAUGGCUGUCGUCAGCUCGUGUCGUGAGAUGUUGGGUUAAGUCCCGCAACGAGCGCAACCCACGUCGUUAGUUGCCAGCAUUUAGAUGGGCACUCUAGCGAGACCGCCGGUGAUAAACCGGAGGAAGGUGUGGAUGACGUCAAGUCAUCAUGCCCCUUACAUCCUGGGCUACACACGUACUACAAUGCUACGGACAAAGGGCAGCAAACUCGCGAGAGCUAGCAAAUCCCAUAAACCGUGGCUCAGUUCAGAUCGUAGGCUGCAACUCGCCUACGUGAAGGAGGAAUCGCUAGUAAUUGCAGGUC
rnacentral:rRNA from 1 species